rnacentral:rRNA from 1 species
GUGGGGAAUAUUACACAAUGGAGGAAACUCUGAUGUAGCAACGCCGCGUGGAGGAUGACACAUUUCGGUGCGUAAACUCCUUUUAUAUGGGAAGAUAAUGACGGUACCAUAUGAAUAAGCACCGGCUAACUCCGUGCCAGCAGCCGCGGUAAUACGGAGGGUGCAAGCGUUACUCGGAAUCACUGGGCGUAAAGCGCGCGCAGGCGGCCCAUUAAGUUGGAUGUGAAAUCCUAUGGCUCAACCAUAGAACUGCAUCCAAAACUGAUGGGCUAGUGUCUGGGAGGGGAAGAUGGAAUUAGUGGUGUAGGGGUAAAAUCCGUAGAGAUCACUAGGAAUACCAAAAGCGAAGGCGAUCUUCUGGAACAGUACUGACGCUGAGGCGCGAAAGCGUGGGGAGCAAACAGGAUUAGAAACCCCUGUAGUCC